GACGAACGCUGGCGGCGUGCUUAACACAUGAAAGUCGAACGAGUGGCGAACGGGUGAGUAACACGGGGGUGACCUGCACUGCACUUCGGGAUAAGCCUGGGAAACUGGGGCUAAUACCGGAGAGUGUGGGAUGGGCCCGCGGCCUCUCAGCUUGUUGGUGGGGUAUUGGCUACCAAGGCGCGACGGGUAGCCGGCCUGAGAGGGUGGACGGCCACAUUGGAACUGGGACACGGGCCAGACGCCUACGUGAGGCAGCAGUGGGGAGUAUUGGACCAUGGGGGGAACCCUGACCGAGCAACGCCGAGGGAGUGAAGAAGGUUUUCGGAUCGUAAAGCUCUGUUGUUUAGGAAGCGGUACUUAACCAGAAAGGGACGGCUAACUACGUGCCAGCAGCCGCGGUAAUUC
rnacentral:rRNA from 1 species